UACGAAGGGGGCUAGCGUUGUUCGGAUUUACUGGGCGUAAAGGGCGCGUAGGCGGAUUUUUAAGUCAGGGGUGAAAUCCCAAGGCUCAACCUUGGAACUGCCUUUGAUACUGGGAAUCUUGAGUCCGGGAGAGGUGAGUGGAACUGCGAGUGUAGAGGUGAAAUUCGUAGAUAUUGGGAAGAACACCGGUGGCGAAGGCGGCUCUCUGGACCGAUACUGACGCUGAGGCGCGAAAGCGUGGGGAGCAAACAGG
rnacentral:rRNA from 1 species